rnacentral:rRNA from 1 species
GGUGGAGCGAUUUGUCUGGUUUAUUCCGAUAACGAACGAGACUCUGGCCUACUAAAUAGAGACAGGAUUAUUACUGUCCUGGAUUCUUCUUAGAGGGACAAGUGGUUUUCAGCCACACGAAAUUGAGCAAUAACAGGUCUGUGAUGCCCUUAGAUGUCCGGGGCUGCACGCGCGCUACACUGAAGGAAUCAGCGUGCUAAAACCAUUGUCGAAAGGCAUUGGUAAACCCCUCAAAAUCCUACGUGAUUGGGAUCGGGAAUUGCAAUUAUUUCCCUUGAACGAGGAAUUCCCAGUAAGUGUGGGUCAUAAGCUCGCGUUGAU